rnacentral:rRNA from 1 species
AGCGAACGCUGGCGGCAGGCUUAACACAUGCAAGUCGAGCGGGCACUUUCGGGUGUCAGCGGCGGACGGGUGAGUAACGCGUGGGAACGUGCCCUCUGGUUCGGAAUAACUCAGGGAAACUUGAGCUAAUACCGGAUACGCCCUUUUGGGGAAAGGCUUGCUGCCGGAGGAUCGGCCCGCGUCUGAUUAGCUAGUUGGUGAGGUAACGGCUCACCAAGGCGACGAUCAGUAGCUGGUCUGAGAGGAUGAUCAGCCACACUGGGACUGAGACACGGCCCAGACUCCUACGGGAGGCAGCAGUGGGGAAUAUUGGACAAUGGGCGCAAGCCUGAUCCAGCCAUGCCGCGUGAGUGAUGAAGGUCUUAGGGUUGUAAAGCUCUUUUAUCCGGGACGAUAAUGACGGUGCCGGAGGAAUAAGCCCCGGCUAACUUCGUG